CCUUCCCGCCCAGAGCUGCUCCUGGACGACAGCUGUGCAGAGGACCAGGAUGGGGAGCUGGACGGGCUGUGGACCACCAUCUCCAUCUUCAUCACCCUCUUCCUGCUCAGCGUGUGCUACAGCGCCACGGUCACCCUCUUCAAGGUGAAGUGGAUCUUCUCUUCGGUGGUGGAGCUGAAGCGCACGAUCGUCCCCGACUACAGGAACAUGAUCGGGCAGGGCGCCUAGGGCCAGCCCCCUGGGCGGGCGUCCAGCGCUGCCCCAGACCCCGGUCAGGAUCCCGUGCAUCAGCCUGCUGCCAGGCCUGCUCUUCCGCCCUCGGCCCUCGCCAGCCUCGAACCUCGCGGCUGCCCCGGGCCUGCACCUUCGCCCUCCGACCUCGCGGCCACCGUGAGCUACAUCGUGCCCCUGACCCCCUGUUUGGAGAGCUGAGCGGACGGCAGGUCGUGCCCCAACCUGAGCUGGUGGACGCCUGUGGGCCCCUCCACAGAGGCUGCCAGGGUACCGCUGGGGCCGCAUGGACUCAGGCACUGGGGCCAUGCGCAUGGUCAGCACACAUGCUCAUCUUGGAGGAGGCGGACGGCUGGCGAUCCCAGUGUCUGUCUGCUGGGGACCAGCCUCUGUGUGAACCCCAUUCAGGCCAGGCUCCAGGAUGCAGGGCCCCAGAGCAGCCACGCCCAGAUCCUGAAGGGGCUUCAUGUGUGCCACUAAUGGUCAGUCAGACCUCCGCCAGAGAAGACCACGCAGAGAAUGGCCUGGCCUGUGGCCGCUGAAGAACCCCGUGGAUACAGGGUACAGAAUGACAUCCAGCCAGAGAGGCCUCCUGGAGAAUGGGCUGGUGUCCUGGUCCCCGGGCCAGUGGGACACAGCCUCGGUGGACAGAGGUGGAAGGUGCCAGGAGGCCAGGGUGGCAGGCCCUGGAGCUGGGGGCCGGGUGGGCCUCCAGGACUGGCUGUCUGCCCCAUCUCUGAGUGACAGCCACUCGGGGCCCCCGCAUGGGAAGAGACGGCCAUGCAGGGAGGAGAAGCAGAGCCCCGCCCCCAGGGAGAGAGCGCCCAGCUCCCACGAAGGAAGGCCACUGCUAUAGCUUGGGUAGCUUGUUUGAUUCUUCUAAAAUUUCUGGAGCUUGUUAAUUUCCCUUAGCGUUUUGGGUUUUUUUAAUGACAAUAAAGCAGCCUUGAAAGCUCCA